AACAUGCAUGUCAAAAUGAUUUACUGUAUAUUUUACGAUUCUCAAGUCUCUAACUGUUUCUUCUGGCUUACAAAAAAACCAGAUGCAGAUCAAUUAGCAAUGUAGUUCAACCCCAAAAUAGCUAUGGCACUGUGACUUAUGCAUAUCUGGUAGCCAUUUGUAGUUGUUUUUGGUUGUAGCACACAAUCUUGAUACCAAGGCUACCAGGAAUAAAGUGAAACAGCCUCAAAAUGAAACAUAACCAAAUAACACCCGGUCACAACCUACAUUAGCUGUAGAAUAAUCAUCUCGAAGGACCUGAUGUCGCUAUUUUUGUUGACACUUGACAAAAUUUGUAUAGCGAAACUGCUUUACUUAGGAAAUCAAUUUUGUAACCAAAUUAAAAUACCAAAUUCUGCUUGGUAUUUCCACUUUUGUAAUAUAACUACAAUAUUCCGUAAACUGUGAAUCUAUAAAUUUGACAAGAAAAAACACCCGCAGCAUCGCACGGGCUUACAUUUCCUAGU